GAUGGUUAUGCUUCCAACCUAAGCAGGUGCUCUAAUGUCACUAAUGAAAGACUUCAUGGCAUAAAGAGUUAUGGUUGCCAUGUUUCCAUAGAAUACCUACUCCUAGUGGCCUUGAGAGAAUUGUUUGACCAAGUUUAAAAGUCCUUAACAGAACUGAGUUUAUUUUUUAGACAUUUGUGUUCUCUUUCUUUGUCUGUAGAAAAUCUCCUUGUAAUGGAACACAAUAUCUCAAACUUUCUUUAUAACUUCGAAAGAAUCUUUCUGCUUAGAUUCUUUAAUAUCAUGGAACAUCUCUCAUUCACUUUAGCAUAUGAAGCACAGGUGUGUGGUCUAGCAUAGUAUUGAUGGAUGUAACUCUUUGAGUGUCAGAUAGGUGUUUAUAAGAGAUCGAUCAAGAAUUGAGACAGGGUAGAAGGCUCAAUAUAUGAGGCAUACAAGUCGAAAGAAACCAUCUAUUUUUGUUCUUACUAUUUUGAACCUCAUGUGCAAUCGAGUCACACAAGAGUAGGUCGUAAUGAUGAUGGUGGCGAAAGUUUGUUUGAACCAACAUUGCCCAUUUUCAACCGAGCCGACACUCUUGGUGGAAAAAAACAAACUAGGUGGUUAAACUUUACAGAGUUAAACUCGGCUCACCUGCAUAUUCUACUAAAUUGUCCCGAAGUCAAUGAAAUUAGGAGGUAAUAUCUUAUAAACAAUUAAUCAGUUAAAAUAAAAAAGUUAACUUAAGCGUGUUAAAUAUAAAAGUUUGUUGCCAUGCCUACAGGUUGUACGAGGCAUUUUAUGGAUCAAAAGAUAUGCAAGAUUUUUCUACAUGAUUUCAAUCACAUGUGAAUGAUCCUAAAAAAGGUGUAACAUGUCCUUAUCUACAUAACAUGGUUCAGGAUCCUACUAGUAGUGUACUAGUUGGACUAUGAUGAAAGUCAAUAGAAUGAAAUUUUAUACACCCGAACAUGCUCGAGUAAGAGCAACAUACAACAUGGAGUUUUCUAAAGAUUGAUGUUGGAAAAGGUGGACGUAACUAAUUUGGGUUGUUGUAUGAAAUUUUAGAAAUUGAAUAUCUGGACGCACUAAUCAAAUGGGUUCUAAUAUUUAAUUGUGAAUGAUAUGAUCAUGGACGAUAUCCUCGUCUAGGUUAAGGAAUACUAAGUCACAGAGGAUUAUCAAGAAAUCUGGGCUACAGGCAUGGGCUAGUCAAGCAUCCAACAAUGGGGAAUAUAUGCCCACCCAAGGAUCCACCACCUACAAGGUGAAGGCGAAGAAGAUGGUCGCACACACACUCAGAGUGAAAUAUUCAAGAGGACAUCGAUGAGGAAGGAUGGCAGCUCCAAGUAGGUUUAAACAUACUCUGAGGAGACUGUUCACCUAUUCGAGGAAACCAUUCUCAAGGCCCACGAGGAGUGUGCGACUCAGAUUGCUCAGGGGCCCAAAGCCAAUACAUAUUGAGGAGGAUUCUCCGUGGAUGCAAACUGCAAGUGGACGCAAGUAGGGGAGGGUGUACGGUGUUGAGUCCACUAUUAGCGGACCUGUAGAUAUCAAGGAGCAGGUUACCCUGCUCAACGGAGAGCUACAACAAGACUUAGAGCUAAGAGAGAGCUAUAAUAGCACUGGACGAGAUGCAAAGUUAGAAUCAAACUACAAGCAGGAGCGAGCGGAGUGGAUAUGUGCUUAUCAUAGAUAUGAGGAGGAGAUUGGUCGCCUCCAAUAGACCGUCCGCACCCAACUCUCCGAUUCGACCAAUGGAAGAAUGACAUGUACUCCUUUAUGCGGCAAAUUUCAGCGAAUGGCUCAUUUAGCGAUGUCACUCAUGUCUCCUCUACUUCCACCUCAUCGUUCAUCUCAUCCUCGACUGUUGAUGCCACUACCACCAGCACCACAACUUGGAGGUGAUGGAUUAGCAGGGGGGUGAUGAUGAUGCCUUCAUCUUGGACGAAUACUUGUAGUUUAGAUUUUAUUUAUUUGUAAUUGGAUUUUUAGUUUUCAUGAUAGUUUGUAUAAGGUUGUACAUUUACUAUUUAUUAAGCAUUGAAUAAUUACUUUUUUAUAUUA